rnacentral:rRNA from 1 species
CCUACGGGUGGCUGCAGUGGGGAAUAUUGGGCAAUGGGCGCAAGCCUGACCCAGCAACGCCGCGUGAAGGAAGAAGGCGUUCGGGUUGUAAACUUCUUUUCUCAGGGACGAAGCAAGUGACGGUACCUGAGGAAUAAGCCACGGCUAACUACGUGCCAGCAGCCGCGGUAAUACGUAGGUGGCAAGCGUUAUCCGGAUUGACUGGGGGUAAAGGGCGUGUAGGCGGGACUGCAAGUCAGAUGUUAAAACCAUGGGCUCAACCUAUGGCCUGCAUUUGAAACUGUAGUUCUUGAGUACUGGGGAGGCAGGCGGAAUUCCUAGUGUAGCGGUGAAAUGCGUAGAUAUUAGGAGGAACCCCAGUGGCGAAGGCAGUCUGCUGGACAGCAACUGACGCUGAGGCGCGAAAGCGUGGGGAGCAAACAGGAUUAGAUACCCGAGUAGUC